rnacentral:rRNA from 1 species
UACAGAGGGUGCAAGCGUUAAUCGGAAUUACUGGGCGUAAAGCGCACGUAGGUGGCUUGAUAAGUUGGGUGUGAAAUCCCCGGGCUUAACCUGGGAAUUGCAUUCAAGACUGUCUUGCUAGAGUGUGGAAGAGGGAAGCGGAAUUCCAGGUGUAGCGGUGAAAUGCGUAGAUAUCGUUUGGAACGCCAAUGGUGAAAACAACUUGCUGGGGGUGUGCUGACGCUGAGACACGAAAGCCAGGGGAGCAGACGGG